rnacentral:rRNA from 1 species
CCUACGGGGGGCAGCAGUGAGGAAUAUUGGUCAAUGGGCGCGAGCCUGAACCAGCCAAGUAGCGUGAAGGAUGACUGCCCUACGGGUGGUAAACUUCUUUUAUAAAGGAGUAAAGUGAGGCACGUGUGCCUUUUUGUAUGUACUUUAUGAGUAAGGAUCGGCUAACUCCGUGCCAGCAGCCGCGGUAAUACGGAGGAUGCGAGCGUUAUCCGGAUUGAUUGGGUUUAAAGGGAGCGUAGAUGGGUUGUUAAGUCAGUUGUGAAAGCUUGCGGCUCAACCGUAAGAUUGCAAUUGAUACUGGCAGUCUUGAGUACAGUUGAGGUAGGCGGAAUUCGUGGUGUAGCGGUGAAAUGCUUAGAUAUUACGAAGAACUCCGAUUGCGAAGGCAGCUUACUAAGCUGCCACUGACAUUGAUGCUCGAAAGUGUGGGUAUCAAACAGGAUUAGAUACCCUAGUAGUC